rnacentral:rRNA from 1 species
UACAGAGGUGGCAAGCGUUGUUCGGAAUUACUGGGCGUAAAGGGCGCGUAGGUGGCCUUCUUAGUCAGACGUGAAAUCCCCAGGCUUAACCUGGGAACUGCGUCUGAUACUGGAAGGCUCGAGUUCGGGAGAGGAAUGUGGAAUUCCAGGUGUAGCGGUGAAAUGCGUAGAUAUCUGGAGGAACACCGGUGGCGAAGGCGGCAUUCUGGACCGAAACUGACGCUGAGGCGCGAAAGCCAGGGGAGCAAAGCGGG